rnacentral:lncRNA from 1 species
GGUGAGAAAGGACAGACCAGAUGCCCACAGCAGCUGACUGAGGGAUACUGAGGACUGAGGAAACCAGUGGCAGGAGCCCAGCAUACCCACACUAGGUUCCCUAUAUAAAUGUAGGCAAGUAGAAAGCCUGCUCAGCAUACAGAAAAAAGCAACUGGUCACUAGCAAAUAGAGCCAAACCCUCAGUUAAAAAUAGGCUGGAUUUCAGAAUUCAGUCAAACAGGAAGAGGAGGCACAGACCUGGAACUUACAGAUGCUGUUUCAGGAUGGUGACAGCUACUCAAUAUGGGACAGUUUGGACCAGUGGAUAACUGAAAAUUGUGGCAACCCACAGAAUGCAACUUGUACUACUGUGUUUCCCAAAUACGUGCAACAAAUUCAUAUACAUGUAGCACACCUUUAUUUGGAAAUGAAGAAUAUUGCAUUUUUCCCAGAUGCUGAGGGCUUCCUCCCCUAUUUUAGUGCAACCAAGGAUGUGCGUACGUAUGUUGAGACGUGGCGAGGAUUGUGA